GGGGCGGGAGGGGACGGGGUGGGGACCGGCCAUGUCGGAGGUGACCCGAAGUCUGCUGCAGCGCUGGGGCGCCAGUUUUAGGAGAGGCGCCGACUUCGACUCUUGGGGCCAGCUGGUGGAGGCGAUAGACGAGUAUCAGAUAUUAGCAAGACACCUACAAAAAGAGGCCCAAGCUCAACACAAUAAUUCUGAGUUCACAGAAGAACAAAAGAAAACCAUAGGCAAAAUUGCAACAUGCUUGGAAUUACGAAGUGCAGCUUUACAGUCCACACAGUCCCAAGAAGAAUUUAAACUGGAGGAUCUGAAGAAGCUAGAACCAAUCCUAAAGAAUAUUCUUACAUAUAAUAAAGAAUUCCCAUUUGAUGUUCAGCCUGUCCCCUUAAGAAGAAUUUUAGCACCUGGUGAAGAAGAGAAUUUGGAAUUUGAAGAAGAUGAAGAAGAGGGUGGUGCUGGAGCAGGGUCUCCUGAUGCCUUUCCUGCUAGAGUUCCCGGUACUUUAUUACCAAGGUUGCCAUCAGAACCAGGAAUGACAUUACUCACUAUCAGAAUUGAGAAAAUUGGCCUGAAAGAUGCUGGGCAAUGCAUUGAUCCCUAUAUCACAGUUAGUGUAAAAGAUCUGAAUGGCAUAGAUUUAACUCCUGUGCAGGAUACUCCCGUGGCUUCAAGAAAAGAAGAUACGUAUGUUCAUUUUAAUGUGGACAUUGAGCUCCAGAAGCAUGUUGAAAAAUUAACCAAAGGGAGAAGAGAAGCUACUCUUUUGUGGACAUGGCAGGGUCAUACACCUGGGGACCGAGGUCACCGGUGCAGCUAUUUUCUUUGAAUUCAAACACUACAAGCCUAAAAAAAGGUUUACCAGCACCAAGUGUUUUGCUUUCAUGGAGAUGGAUGAAAUUAAACCUGGGCCAAUUGUAAUAGAACUAUACAAGAAACCCACUGACUUUAAAAGAAAGAAAUUGCAGUUAUUGACCAAGAAACCACUUUAUCUUCAUCUGCAUCAAACUUUGCACAAGGAAUGAUCCUGACAUGAAUACCCUGGAACUUCUGUGAAUCUUACCACUCAGUAGAAACCAUCCUAGCUCUGUGUAGCACAUUCGCCCUUCAACAGGCAGGAAGCAAGCCGUACCCAGGCCAGCAGGCCAGAGUGAGUCCAUUACACAGCUAUAGCACAGAAUUCAAAGUCCAGCACGUCACUGAUGGAAAAGACUCCUUUGGAUACAGGCUUAAUUGUAGAUCUUAAAACAUUUUCACUUUUCUAUUAAUUGUGCAAUGAAUAGCCUCUUUUCUAAUUUGCCACUAUUCCUGCCCUGCUUCCUGGAACGACACUGUUGUGGGUGGCAUGUGCUCACCUUCACACUUAAUACAGCAAUAAGAGUGUGCUAGAGUUUACACACCUGUCCACUUCUGCUCCAAUAUGCUCUUCGGUUUUUUGAGUUAAUGUCAAACUUUGGGUUGAUGUGGGUAGGACAGUAUGAGACUGCUUUGAGAGGAAUUGGACCAAUUAUGCUGCCCAAAGUCAGUCUGGAAAUUUAUAGGCUGCUCCUCAGAGACGGCCUUGAUUCACCCUGAUCUCAUGGUUCUCCUGCUUAGAAAUAGUGUGCCUUGGCCAAAUCAGUAUCCCAUAUGGGCGUGUUCGCAGGUGGUAGCUGUGAUUUUUCCAGAUGACUGGAUCGUUUUUCUGAAAGUGAGCAUAUUUUUAGUCAUGUUGAUUAGCUUUUUUCUACAUCACAUCGUUACUCUUUCUGAUAGUGAUUCUGGGGUUAGUGAUGGAACCAUCUCAGAAUAAUUACAAAUUCUUGGUGGGUUUAUAAUGUCUUCUAAAUCAUGUAAUCUAAAAAUAAUUUGAGUCAGAUGCUAACAAGAUACCGCAGGAAUAACUGCUGUUUUUCUGACAACUGAUUGUGAAACCUUAAAACCUGCAUACCUCUUCUUGUAGUGAUGAGUAUGCAAAUCUGGAGAUAUUCUAUUUUUUUUUAUAUAGGUAGAUAGGAUUGCCAUUUAUUUCCUAUGUAGAUAUACUGACAUUCAUCCAUAUGGAAAUAUUGCAGGUCAUUAGCUUUUUAUAAUUUGACUAUUUACAUUCUUUUGACUUAAUAAUGGGGCAUAAAUAAAACUUUCAUAGAACACACAAGGUGGAUAUUUGAUACACAGAACAUUUAAGAUUUGGGGUGGGCAUUCUCUGGGUUAGGUGUGAGCCCACAUAUUUAAUAUUCACUAUUUUAAAUGACCAAUGCUAGCAUGAGGGGAACGCAGUGCCAGUACUUGGCCUACUUUUAAACUCGUGUAAUAAGCCUAGUCAAUACCGUUCAGUAUGUUUGCUUUUUAAAAUAAGUAACCACAAUUAAGUUCUAGCCCUUGCACUUCAAGAGAUCUAGUCUCCACUUUCAGUUGUCUGUUAGGUCAGUUCUGUUUACUAUGAUGGAUGUUAAAAAACUAUAUGAGCCUGAAGAAUUCUCAACCCAAUUUAGUCUUGCUUCCCUCUUGAUUAGUUCAAUUCCAGAUGAUUCCAUCCACAGUAGCUUGAGGGGAUGAGGAAUUUGCCUUAAUAAAUUACUUUGUUGUUCACUCAACUCUUAGACUGUGAGUUGUCAGCCCCGUGCCCUGCCCGCCCCAGACUGUAAGCUCCUCAGGGGGCAAGAACCACACGUUCUCCAUGUCACGUACAUUUUCUGAGGUGCUUGGCAGCGCUCUGUACCCUGUGGAGUACUCAGUACCUUUUGUUUGAUGUUGCUGACAAGACCUAAAAAUAAUCCCUUAAAAAACCUACCAUUAAAAUGUAGCAAAACUGA